rnacentral:rRNA from 1 species
UACCGGCACCCCGAGUGGUCGGGACGAUUAUUGGGCCUAAAGCAUCCGUAGCCGGUCCUACAAGUCUUCCGUUAAAUCCACCUGCUUAACAGAUGGGCUGCGGAAGAUACUAUAGGGCUAGGAGGCGGGAGAGGCAAGCGGUACUCAGUGGGUAGGGGUAAAAUCCUCUGAUCCAUUGAAGACCACCAGUGGCGAAGGCGGCUUGCCAGAACGCGCUCGACGGUGAGGGAUGAAAGCUGGGGGAGCAAACCGG